rnacentral:tRNA from 1 species
UGCCGAGGCGCUCGGCGGUGCGGGUGAUGUUGCCGUUGCAAUCGGCGAGCACCUGCUGGAUGUGGUUCCACUCCGCCUCGGCGA